rnacentral:rRNA from 1 species
AGUGAACGCUGGCGGUAGCCCUAACACAUGCAAGUCGAACGGCAGCACAGUAAGAGCUUGCUCUUACGGGUGGCGAGUGGCGGACGGGUGAGGAAUACAUCGGAAUCUACUUUUUCGUGGGGGAUAACGUAGGGAAACUUACGCUAAUACCGCAUACGACCUACGGGUGAAAGCAGGGGAUCUUCGGACCUUGCGCGAUUGAAUGAGCCGAUGUCGGAUUAGCUAGUUGGCGGGGUAAAGGCCCACCAAGGCGACGAUCCGUAGCUGGUCUGAGAGGAUGAUCAGCCACACGGGAACUGAGACACGGUCCAGACUCCUACGGGAGGCAGCAGUGGGGAAUAUUGGACAAUGGGCGCAAGCCUGAUCCAGCCAUACCGCGUGGGUGAAGAAGGCCUUCGGGUUGUAAAGCCCUUUUGUUGGGAAAGAAAAGCAGCAGGUUAAUACCCCGCUGUUCUGACGGUACCCAAAGAAUAAGCACCGGCUAACUUCGUG